rnacentral:rRNA from 1 species
AUUGAACGCUGGCGGCAGGCCUAACACAUGCAAGUCGAACGAGUGGCGGACGGGUGAGUAAUGUCUGGGAAACUGCCCGAUGGGGGGGGGUAACUCCUGGAAACGGUCGCUAAUACCGCAUACCAUCUGAUAUGCCCAGAUGGGCUUAUCUUGUAGGUGAGGUAACGGCUCACCUAGGCGACGAUCCCUAGAUGGUCUGAGAGGAUGACAAGCCACACUGGAACUGGGACACGGUCCAGACUCCUACGGGAGGCAGCAGUGGGGAAUAUUGCACAAUGGGCGCAAGCCUGAUGCAGCCAUGCCGCGGGUAUGAAGAAGGCCUUCGGGUUGUAAAGUACUUUCAGCGGGGAGGCGUUACCCGCAGAAGAAGCACCGGCUAACUCCGUGCCAGCAGCCGCGGUAAUUC